GACGAACGCUGGCGGCGUGCCUAAUACAUGCAAGUAGAACGCACAGUUUAUACCGUAGCUUGCUACACCAUAAACUGUGAGUUGCGAACGGGUGAGUAACGCGUAGGUAACCUGCCUGGUAGCGGGGGAUAACUAUUGGAAACGAUAGCUAAUACCGCAUAAUAUUAAUUAUUGCAUGAUAAUUGAUUGAAAGAUGCAAUUGCAUCACUACCAGAUGGACCUGCGUUGUAUUAGCUAGUAGGUGAGGUAACGGCUCACCUAGGCGACGAUACAUAGCCGACCUGAGAGGGUGGUCGGCCACCCUGGGACUGAGACACGGCCCAGACUCCUACGGGAGGCAGCAGUAGGGAAUCUUCGGCAAUGGACGAAAGUCUGACCGAGCAACGCCGCGUGAGUGAAGAAGGUUUUCGGAUCGUAAAGCUCUGUUGUAAGAGAAGAACGGGUGUGAGAGUGGAAAGUUCACACUGUGACGGUAUCUUACCAGAAAGGGACGGCUAACUACGUG
rnacentral:rRNA from 1 species